rnacentral:rRNA from 1 species
UGGGGAAUAUUGCACAAUGGGCGAAAGCCUGAUGCAGCAACGCCGCGUGAGUGAUGAAGGCCUUCGGGUUGUAAAGCUCUGUCUUUUGGGACGAUAAUGACGGUACCAAAGGAGGAAGCCACGGCUAACUACGUGCCAGCAGCCGCGGUAAUACGUAGGUGGCAAGCGUUGUCCGGAUUUACUGGGCGUAAAGGAUGCGUAGGCGGAUUUUUAAGUGAGAUGUGAAAACCCUAAGCUUAACUUGGGGACUGCAUUUCAUACUGGAAAUCUAGAGUGCGGGAGAGGAGAAUGAAAUUCCUAGUGUAGCGGUGAAAUGCGUAGAGAUUAGGAAGAACACCAGUGGCGAAGGCGAUUCUCUGGACCGUAACUGACGCUGAGGCAUGAAAAGCGUGGGUAGCAAACAGGAUUAGAUACCCUGGUAGUCCACGCCGUAAACGAUGAGUACUAGGUGUAGGAGGUAUCGACCCCUUCUGUGCCGCAGUUAACACAAUAAGUACUCCGCCUGGGAAGUACGAUCGCAAGAUUAAAAACUCAAAUG